rnacentral:lncRNA from 1 species
UGGCAAAAAUUUAAAGACAUGGGCACCUUAUCUCAUUCUUGUUGAAGAAUUAUAUUCAAAGACCUCUCUUUAAUUCACAAAAAUGGAAUGGAAAACGUGAUUUGCUUCAGCAAGAAAAGCCAUCCAAAAAUUGAGAUCAAAUUCACCAAAAUGGAGGUGUUCUACUACAUCUACAAAUGUAACGGAUCUCCAACCAAGAAAUCUUCAUACGAAAUUAUACUACGUAAUGUUAUAACAACGAGAUUUUUCCGAUUCUAAGGGAGUACGGUGCAAUAUUUCUCAAGAAUAUCAUAUGGAGUUUUUCCCUAAUUCGAUAUGCCGUUACGUGUUCAUCGCAAAAGACGUGUGUUAGAAGAAUUGUCAAGAGAAUCGGUCCAGGUAUGUUAAGGCUAUCCCUUCUUUCUUUUGGCAUGAUCUAUACGACACAAACAAAAAGAGCAAAUGCACAAUUUCCAUAAAUGACUCUAUUCAUAGAAAUACUAGAGAUGCUUAUGUUAUUGAUUCCCCAUGUGUCAUAUUAUUCUAUCAUCUGUUCAUGGGUCUCAGAAAAAACGUAAGUUGAUAAAGUUUGUUUCAUGAUAUUACUCAAAGGCAUAAUGGUCUUAUGACAUUCCAAGAGAUUUUAUUGACAUACUUCCCAUGCAUUGCAUUCAUUUAUACAUGUACAUUGACCCAUGACCAGAUGAUAUUAUAUACGCGUAUAUGUAUGUAUAUAUAUACAUAUGGGAUAAGAGAAAAAGGAUACGGUAUUAUAUACGCACUACCACCUGAUCAGCUGGUAUACGUUGAUGAUGUUGCCCACACUUGUCGAGAUGAUAUGAUGGGAUGCCCUCAGAGGCUUGAUGAUAUUAUGAAUGCAUAUACCCAUGCAUGGUAUGACAUUUAUAAGCAUAUGCAUGAAAUUAUAAGUAAUAAAUGAUUCACAGAGUUAUUUAGACUUACAUGUCGAGUCUUUUACUCCAUGUUUUUCUCAUGUCUAUUGUUUACUGAUUUUUAUUCCUUACAUACUCGGUACAUUAUUUGUACUGACAUCCCUUUUGCCUGGGGAUGCUGCGUUUCAUGCCCGCAGGUCCUGAUAGACAGGUUGAGAGUCCUCCAAGUAGGCUAUCAACUCAGCGGAAGGUAUUGGUACGCUCCAUUUGCUCCGAAGUUGCUUAUGUGGUCAGUAUGAUUAGUACAUGUAUUGAUUAGUAUGGCGGGGUCCUGUCCCGACCUUUAUGAUAUUUAUGUACUCUUAGAGGCUAGUAGACAUAUGUCAUGUACGUAAAAGAUUGUAUGGCCUUGUCGGCCUAUGUUUAGUGUACGGGUGAUCAUUUUGGUCUUAUAGGCCCGUAUGUCUUAUGUAUAAGUUGGUAUUACAUGUUCAUUCUAGUUAGCCCAGGACGGC